rnacentral:rRNA from 1 species
GAUGAACGCUAGCGGCAGGCUUAAUACAUGCAAGGCGAAGGGGCAGCAAUGUCACUGUCGUACGGGUGCGUAACGCGUAUGCAACCUACCUAUCACUGGGGGAUAGCCCGGGGGAAACCCGGAUUAAUACCGCAUAACACAGGGGCUCCUCAUGGAGAUAUUUAGUUAAAGAUUUAUCGGUGGUAGAUGGGCAUGCGUUC